CACACCUUCCGUUCUACAAAGGGACAUUUUAUUCUAUAAGUUAGAAGUACUCCCUAUAUCUUUCUGACAUGCUCUGUUAUUAACCAAUGUCUUGUUUCUGUAGAUGGGCACUUUAAAAAAAAAAAGCAACCCUUUUGUGAAAGGCUGAAUUAGCUGCAUAUAGAAUUUGGCUAAUUGCAAUUGCUCACAAGUGGUAUUUUCUGUUAAAGCAAAGUAUCCUGCUAGAACGUUAAAUCGCAUGGCAGGAGCAGAUAUAAAUGAGGACACUGAUUUAUCAAUGGGAGCUCUCUCAGUGUGUCUGGUCUAUCGGGAGAAAUGAAGCCAUCCCUGUUUCCUCCUCUAGAUUAUAAUUAGAAGCUGAGUCUUUGCACAGCAUUUUUAAGUUACUCUUAAUUUUCAGCUUCUCAUUAAAAAUGUAUAUUUGUUGUCUGGGAAGAUUUAUUAAUAGUUCUGCAAAUUCUCUGCAGCUCGUUGGGAACAGAUUGUGUAUUUAAAUCGGCUUUUCAGGCACUCGAGAGCAAGCGCCACCCUCCUCGGUGCUAUGCACGCGGAGAAUACUAACCAGGAGGCUUCGUGCAGCACCGGUUCCUCCCGUUCUUUGCCAGCACCUCAGCACCUUCAUUUCAGCAGCGGCACUUCUGCGUCUACCUGACCAAGUCAGGGUCUAAGGCUUCUAGAAGUCCAGGAAGUGCUGGCUUGGGUGGAGCCUGUGGUCACACGCGCUUCUCCCUUCUGUCCACAGGAUGGCAGCAUCGAGUCAAGGCUCCAGCCUGAUGGGGCCGGCUCUGGGAACUGCAAAGACCAGGUUUCUUCCUGAGAAAGAAUGGUUUUAGUCUUCUCCUCCAAGGCAACCCUCCUAAAGCCGUGCAGAGUGUGGUCCGCCCACCCCACCUUCGCUGCACCUGGUGGACAAUGACAACACUGUGGUGUAUUAGAUGAUGUUUUGUUUUGAGACUAUGAGCAUGCGUCUUGGGUCGGCUUUCAAGGGGCUGACUUAAUAAGAAAACCUCGGUUCAGAAGCAUAAAUCCUUGAGGCUGGGGAUGUAGUCUAAUGGAAGAGCACUCACUUAGACAAACUGUCUAACAGACCCCAGGAGGUGGUAGGCUGUAAUGCACGCCUCGUUGUCUGACUCCCAAGCCCUUCCUCCAUCCACUGCACUUGUACUUUGGGGGUCCCUCUGAGUGUCAUGGCUUCCAAACACAGGAAACUGGGACCCAUACCAGUGUAACAGUGUGAGACUUGAAGAGUCUAUGAGAAGUUGCUGAGCUGGCAUGCGCAGACGUGCUCCUGUGCGCAGGACAUGGCUCUUUGUACCAUUUACUGACACGUCUGUCUUUGGAAAUGAAAUAUUGGUACUAUUAGGUAUUUCAACCCCAAACUCCAACCUUGAAUCCGGAAGAUGGUGCGAAAAUGAGGCAGAAGUAAUAAGUAAUUACAGAAUCUGUGAGCUUGCCCACGGAGAAGACACAGUUUGUCUACGGAAAUAAGCAAAUCAAAAUUGGGUGCUCUUUCCCUAGCGGUGAAUUGACAUAAUGAUGAUUCAUCCAUGGAGCCCUGUGUGUCACCUGGGCUGGACUGAGCAGAGACUCUGUUCUGUGUUUACUAUCCAGGUAAUGCUUUCCUCCCCCAAUUCCCCAACUCUAGAUCAAGAAUUAAACCUGAACUCUCAGAGGCAAUAUUUGGAAUAAAUAUCUGUAAAGAAGGGGGAGAAGACAUAGAAGAAAGAAUGGAGGAAGACUUAGAAAGAGGGAGGGAGGAGAGGGGAACUGUUUCCCUCUUUUUAAGUCUUCCCUCCAUUUAGUAGGUUUUGGCUUGCUCCGGUUCCUUUUUUGCAAUCAUCCCACUGACUGGUACAUCUCCAAAACCAAAUUGGAUUUAUUUAUUUAUUUAUUUAUUGGUUUUUCAAGACAGGGUUUCUCUGUGUAUCUUCACGCCUUUCCUGGAACUCACUCUGUACCCGAGGCUGGCCUCGAACUCACAGAGAUCUGCCUGCCUCUGCCUCCUGAGUGCUGGGAUUAAAGGUGUGUGCCACCAUCGCCCUCCAAAUUGGUUAUUUUAAGCUGUGUGUCCUGAACUUCCAGAGCCAUGGCCCAGACCCAAGUGUUCCAAAACGCUUCUGGAACCUUCCUCCUUGAGAGCCAUCGUAGCUAGACCAGGCACUUGUCUCAUAGCAAAGGGUUUAUUCCGGCUCGUGGUUCCCGGAGAUAUAGUCCACCAUGACGAAGACUAUGGUAAAAGGAGCAGGGGGUGGCUGGUCGCCUCGCCUUCAUAGCCGGGGAGUAUGAGCCAGGAAGAGCCAGGCACCCUUGUUUGAGCAGGUAACAGCACAGUACAUCAUGGGGAGCGGGGAGGCAGGGAGGCCUGUUCACCUCAGGGCGAGCUUGUUCAUCCUUGCUCAGGGCGAGCAUGCUCAACUCGCUUUCUCCUUAUUUGGGACCCCAGCCCAUGAAAUGAUGCCACCCACAUUUAAGGUGGGACUCCUCACCUCACUUAACCGAAUCUAAAGAAUUCCUCACAGACACGCCCAGAGGUGUGUUUCCAUGGUGAUUCUAAGUCCGGUCGAGUGGACAAGACUGACUAGGACAAUGGCUAAACAUCUGGAGGAAGAGAAGCGUCUACCUGGCAGGGAGUGAGAACAGGGUGGGAGGAGGCCGUGCUCCUCAGAGCCUAGACUUGAGGGGCGUGCCCUCCUCACCCAGCCUGCCUCCCUGCUCCAGCUCACAGGAAGGCAGAGGCCAAAGCCUGGGCUUUCUAGCCCCUUUGCCCUCACACGGUGUACUUGCUGCGCCAUAGGGGCCAGAGCUUGCAGCGGGGGAAGAGGGUAGGAUUUCUGAGGAAAAAACGUGACAGAGAAGGACCAGAAACUGAAGAGACUGCAGCAGGUGUGUGGUUGGGUUUGCUUUACAGCAACAGAACACCCGAGGUAACGUAGAACAAGCGAGGGCUUACGUUGGCUCCGGAUGCUCCACUUUGGGUUGCUUGGUCCUGCUGCUCCUGGUCUGUGGUGUGGGGAAGAUGGAAUGCCUGCUCACCUCAGGGGAGCCAGAAACAAAGACAGACAGGUAGGGCUGGGGUCCCAGCGUCCCUUUUGAUGACGUGCCGAUGGCUUUAUUUUCUCCUACUAGGUCACACAUCCUGAAGGUCCCACUGCCUCUCAUCAGUGCCACAGUUGCGGAAGGGUCUUCAUCUUUGGGGGACGUUCCAGAUCUUCUAGACCCAAAGUAGGACACUACCAGACAAAGCAAAACUAACACUUGGAAGUGUGGCCUGCUGGUCUGGAGGCUGGGACAGUGGCCUUGACCCCCGCUUUGUCCUUCUUUGCUGGGGACUCAGCUCACACCAGGUCCCCAGAGCAGCACACACUGGGGCUGCUUGGGACAAGGCCAUUCAGUUCCAGCCCAGGGAUGGCCACACCGCUGUUCUCCCAUCCAGAGGAUCUGACACUCCCACUCCCCACCCCCAGAGAAUGUGUCCCCUUCUUUAAUUCCAUUCUGCUGAUGUUGGUGCUCAGCCUCACUAUUCACCCACCGGCUUCCUCCAGUGACAUAAGCAUCCAAACACCCCUCAAAGGUAGACUCCAUGGUGGACAGAGUAUGGCCCUUGAUUAAGUGGAAAGCAUCGGACAGGAGCCCCAGUGUUCAGUAAAGAGGGAACCCGAAAUAAAGACGUCAAUAGUGAAACUUUCUCGACUGGUCUCUCUGCUGACCGUCUGCUCUGGACUGAGUGUCUCCUAGAACUCACAUGCUGAUGCUCUAAUCCUGUUUGAUGGUGUCUGGAGACUGGCCUUGGGUAGAGAAUUAGGUCAUGAGGAUGAAGCCCUGUGAAUAGAUGAGUGACCUUAUAAAAAGAAACAGCAUCUCUCAGUCUGCCUCCUCUCUUGAAAAAUUAUUUCUAUUUGUUAAUGCAAAUGGAUGUUUUCCUGUGAACUGCGCACAUGUCUGGAGCACACGGAGGACGGAAGAGGCCAUCGGAUCCCCUUUGAACUAGAGUUCCAGACGACUGUGAACUGACAUGUGAGGAGACUGAGUUCGGAGAUGAUGCCAGCCGUUGCCUACCCAUAUGUCGGAUCCCGCAGACGCCCACCGUUCUUGAUUCAGUACACUCUCAGCAGUGUGUCCCUUCCUCGACGGCACCUUCUCCUGAGUUCCCUGUUCGCAGCUUCCAGGACCUUGACAAAUGCUCAAGGUCAAAGUUCCCAGGGAUAAAUCCCAGUGUUUACCUCAA